GCAUUUCGGUUACAAACUUACAAAAAGAAAUAACAAACACAGAAAUUUUGAAGUUAUCAGACUAUCAGUUGAUAAAAUGCACGCAUAUUGGAUUAUUUUAGCUAUUUGUGCUGCGUCAGUUACUGCUUUUCAAGAAAGAAAACUUUGCGAAAAGUUUAAUGAAGAGAUAGCUGCUGCGUUUGA